rfam:Triticum aestivum genome assembly, contig: Triticum_aestivum_CS42_TGACv1_scaffold_622461_7DS
GAACUACUCCCUCCGUUCCGAAUUACUUGUCGCAGUUAUGGAUGUAUCUAGAUGUAUUUUAGUUCUAAGAUACAUCCAUUUCCGCGACGAGUAAUUUGGAACGGAGGGAGUAGCAU